CCCUUAGAUGCUCUGGGCCGCACGCGCGCUACACUGGUCGAUGCAACGAGUUUCUUUCCUUGGCCGACAGGCCUGGGCAAUCUUUGAACAUCGAUCGUGAUCGGGAUAGAUUCUUGUAAUUUUUGAUCUUAAACGAGGAAUUCCUAGUAAACGCAAGUCAUCAGCUUGCAUUGAUUACGUCCCUGCCCUUUGUACACACCGCCCGUCGCACCUACCGAUUGAAUGGUCCGGUGAAAUCUCCGGACUGGCGUGAGUCGGAGCAAUCUGACAAACACCGGAAAGUUGAUUAAACCUUACCAUUUAGAGGAAGGAGAANUCGUANCA
rnacentral:rRNA from 1 species